GGUGACUGCGUACCUUUUGUAUAAUGGGUCAGCGACUUAUAUUCUGUAGCAAGGUUAACCGAAUAGGGGAGCCGAAGGGAAACCGAGUCUUAACUGGGCGUUAAGUUGCAGGGUAUAGACCCGAAACCCGGUGAUCUAGCCAUGGGCAGGUUGAAGGUUGGGUAACACUAACUGGAGGACCGAACCGACUAAUGUUGAAAAAUUAGCGGAUGACUUGUGGCUGGGGGUGAAAGGCCAAUCAAACCGGGAGAUAGCUGGUUCUCCCCGAAAGCUAUUUAGGUAGCGCCUCGUGAAUUCAUCUCCGGGGGUAGAGCACUGUUUCGGCAAGGGGGUCAUCCCGACUUACCAACCCGAUGCAAACUGCGAAUACCGGAGAAUGUUAUCACGGGAGACACACGGCGGGUGCUAACGUCCGUCGUGAAGAGGGAAACAACCCAGACCGCCAGCUAAGGUCCCAAAGUCAUGGUUAAGUGGGAAACGAUGUGGGAAGGCCCAGACAGCCAGGAUGUUGGCUUAGAAGCAGCCAUCAUUUAAAGAAAGCGUAAUAGCUCACUGGUCGAGUCGGCCUGCGCGGAAGAUGUAACGGGGCUAAACCAUGCACCGAAGCUGCGGCAGCGACACUAUGUGUUGUUGGGUAGGGGAGCGUUCUGUAAGCCUGUGAAGGUGGCCUGUGAGGGUUGCUGGAGGUAUCAGAAGUGCGAAUGCUGACAUAAGUAACGAUAAAGCGGGUGAAAAGCCCGCUCGCCGGAAGACCAAGGGUUCCUGUCCAACGUUAAUCGGGGCAGGGUGAGUCGACCCCUAAGGCGAGGCCGAAAGGCGUAGUCGAUGGGAAACAGGUUAAUAUUCCUGUACUUGGUGUUACUGCGAAGGGGGGACGGAGAAGGCUAUGUUGGCCGGGCGACGGUUGUCCCGGUUUAAGCGUGUAGGCUGGUUUUCCAGGCAAAUCCGGAAAACCAAGGCUGAGGCGUGAUGACGAGGCACUACGGUGCUGAAGCGACAAAUGCCCUGCUUCCAGGAAAAGCCUCUAAGCAUCAGGUAACAUCAAAUCGUACCCCAAACCGACACAGGUGGUCAGGUAGAGAAUACCAAGGCGCUUGAGAGAACUCGGGUGAAGGAACUAGGCAAAAUGGUGCCGUAACUUCGGGAGAAGGCACGCUGAUAUGUAGGUGAAGCGACUUGCUCGUGGAGCUGAAAUCAGUCGAAGAUACCAGCUGGCUGCAACUGUUUAUUAAAAACACAGCACUGUGCAAACACGAAAGUGGACGUAUACGGUGUGACGCCUGCCCGGUGCCGGAAGGUUAAUUGAUGGGGUUAGCGGCAACGCGAAGCUCUUGAUCGAAGCCCCGGUAAACGGCGGCCGUAACUAUAACGGUCCUAAGGUAGCGAAAUUCCUUGUCGGGUAAGUUCCGACCUGCACGAAUGGCGUAAUGAUGGCCAGGCUGUCUCCACCCGAGACUCAGUGAAAUUGAACUCGCUGUGAAGAUGCAGUGUACCCGCGGCAAGACGGAAAGACCCCGUGAACCUUUACUAUAGCUUGACACUGAACAUUGAGCCUUGAUGUGUAGGAUAGGUGGGAGGCUUUGAAGUGUGGACGCCAGUCUGCAUGGAGCCGACCUUGAAAUACCACCCUUUAAUGUUUGAUGUUCUAACGUUGGCCCGUAAUCCGGGUUGCGGACAGUGUCUGGUGGGUAGUUUGACUGGGGCGGUCUCCUCCUAAAGAGUAACGGAGGAGCACGAAGGUUGGCUAAUCCUGGUCGGACAUCAGGAGGUUAGUGCAAUGGCAUAAGCCAGCUUGACUGCGAGCGUGACGGCGCGAGCAGGUGCGAAAGCAGGUCAUAGUGAUCCGGUGGUUCUGAAUGGAAGGGCCAUCGCUCAACGGAUAAAAGGUACUCCGGGGAUAACAGGCUGAUACCGCCCAAGAGUUCAUAUCGACGGCGGUGUUUGGCACCUCGAUGUCGGCUCAUCACAUCCUGGGGCUGAAGUAGGUCCCAAGGGUAUGGCUGUUCGCCAUUUAAAGUGGUACGCGAGCUGGGUUUAGAACGUCGUGAGACAGUUCGGUCCCUAUCUGCCGUGGGCGCUGGAGAACUGAGGGGGGCUGCUCCUAGUACGAGAGGACCGGAGUGGACGCAUCACUGGUGUUCGGGUUGUCAUGCCAAUGGCACUGCCCGGUAGCUAAAUGCGGAAGAGAUAAGUGCUGAAAGCAUCUAAGCACGAAACUUGCCCCGAGAUGAGUUCUCCCUGACUCCUUGAGAGUCCUGAAGGAACGUUGAAGACGACGACGUUGAUAGGCCGGGUGUGUAAGCGCAGCGAUGCGUUGAGCUAACCGGUACUAAUGAACCGUGAGGCUUAACCUU
rnacentral:rRNA from 1 species